rnacentral:rRNA from 1 species
GACGAACGCUGGCGGCGUGCUUAACACAUGCAAGUCGAGCGGUAAGGCCCUUUCGGGGGUACACGAGCGGCGAACGGGUGAGUAACACGUGGGUGACCUGCCCUUAGCUCUGGGAUAAGCCUGGGAAACUGGGUCUAAUACCGGAUAUGACUCCAUAACGCAUGUUGUGGGGUGGAAAGCCUUGUGCGGCUAGGGAUGGGCCCGCGGCCUAUCAGCUUGUUGGUGGGGUGAUGGCCACCAAGGCGACGACGGGUAGCCGGCCUGAGAGGGCGACCGGCCACACUGGGACUGGGACACGGCCCAGACUCCUACGGGAGGGCAGCAGUGGGGAAUCUUGCGCAAUGGGCGAAAGCCUGACGCAGCGACGCCGCGUGGGGA